rnacentral:lncRNA from 1 species
AUAUAUUAGUACUAUUGUUAUCUUCUCGUACAGGGACAUAACAGUAAAUUCAGUAGGUAUAUUUUGAUUCAACUGGAACAAUCUGCUUGACCUGAGUUGAGUAUUUAAAUUCACCUAUUAUACACAGUUUUUAGCGAUCAAGCGCAGCGUAUUAAGGUAGACACGUUCAAAUUCUGGAAUAAAGUUACCACACAUUUUCAUAUGCGUUUUAUUUAUAAUCGAUGUAUGAUUUCAAGAAAAGAAAAACGAAUUUAAUACAAAGG